rnacentral:rRNA from 1 species
GACGAACGCUGGCGGCGUGCUUAACACAUGCAAGUCGAACGGAAAGGCCCUGCUUUUGUGGGGUGCUCGAGUGGCGAACGGGUGAGUAACACGUGAGUAACCUGCCCUUGACUUUGGGAUAACUUCAGGAAACUGGGGCUAAUACCGGAUAGGAGCUCCUGCUGCAUGGUGGGGGUUGGAAAGUUUCGGCGGUUGGGGAUGGACUCGCGGCUUAUCAGCUUGUUGGUGGGGUAGUGGCUUACCAAGGCUUUGACGGGUAGCCGGCCUGAGAGGGUGACCGGCGACAAGGGGACUGCGAGACGGCCCAGACUCCUACGGGAGGCAGCAGUGGGAAAUAUUACACAGUGAGCGGAAGCGUGAUGCAGAAGUGCCGGGUGCGGGAUGACGGCCUUCGGGGUGUAAACCGCUUUCGCCUGUGACGAAGCGUGAGUGACGGUAAUGGGUAAAGAAGCACCGGCUAACUACGUG